GGUUGCGUAGUGUAGCGGUUAUCACUCCAGAUUCUGAUCAAUUAGACCACUUCUGGUAACCCCGGUUCGAUUCCGGGCGCGACCU